CCUUACAGACUGGGCUGCAAAGAGCAGAGGCGGCAUUUGGCUCUCCAGCUUCACCUAGUAAAGGCCGUUUAUACCUUGCCGAAAUAAUCUGUAGACGGAAUGAACUCAAAGCAUGAACAAACAAAAAAAAGCCGGAUUUGGACAAAUAAAAAGAAGUGCAUGUCAGCCCGAGUGUCCUGAAACAUGUUCCUGUAUUAGAAUCUCCAGGAAAGCUGGGGCCCCCACUCGCCACUACCUCAGGCUGGGCCCGCAGUCACGUGCUUCUCCCUACAGGAGGGUUCUGUGUCCUGAAUUCCCAAAGGGUGCAGCUGUCCCCUUGUCGCCUUGUCUGUGUUGAUGGUUCCACACUCUCUGGUCAGCCACCUGCCCCGCCAGUCUCUGCUCGCCCAUGGAUGGGGAUGACCACUCUAGCUGUGAGGGUGGCUUCCCGGGCUAACCCUGCUGCUGCUGCCCAUUGCUUCCAAGGCUGGGAUAUCACUUGGGGUUUGGGGUGAGGGGACAGUAAGGGGGAGCCCUGGUUGCCCUUUCCAGGAGAAUGAGUAUUUAAGUGCGGAGUUGUUUAUUACUUGACUUCAGCAGAGGCGCCAUGGUCGGGGAAACGCUUCAUGUGCCUUGGGUUAUAGGGCAAGUCCCAUCUGUCUGCCUUGAAUUUCGGUUUGGAGAAUCUGUAAGCUCCACACACGUGGAAGCGUCUGUGCCCCGGGUGUGGGUUCUGAUCUUGGUUGUGUUCGUGGCUGGACGCUGUCCUUGAGGCCACCCCUUGGCACCCUUCACAGAAGACAGUGGGGGUCGCCCUUCCCUGGCUGACCCUCCAGAACCGCCAGCCUCCCCUACCUCCCUGUGAAACCAGGGUACAGGGCAGGAGCCUGGACCUCUUUACAGUUGCCUUUUCUCUCUCUCUGUCCCUUCUCCAUCUUCCGAGCUCCUACUCGCCCUUCAGGACCCAGCUCGAAUGCCCCAUCUCUGGGAGGCGCCUUCAAUCUUGGGCUGCCCCUUCCGUCACACCCCCUGUCCCCUGUCUCCUGCCUCCCCUUCCUCCUCACACAAAGCCACCCCCGCCUGUUGGUGGCCUGUGUCUCCGCUGGCCCAGGGCUCUCUUGCCGUGGCCACCGUGGGUUUUGGCCUCGUGACCCAGUCCAUGCGUGCACAGCGCAAGUAGCUUCCCAGGACACCGAUUUCCUCCCCGGCCGCAGCUGCUUCUGGUCCUCUGCCCACUCCCGGGUUCUGCGCCUUCCUGCGCCCCCGGCCUGGCCACAGCUCGGUCACCCCAGAACCACCGUGUGCUGGGGAUUUGUCACGGGUUUGUCCUGACGUGUGAGGUCCAGCCGGGGUCCCCAUAGCCUCCCUGUCCCCGUCCCUGUCCCCGUCAGGCCUCCUGCUGCGCUGUGGACAGUGGCUUGGCGCCAUCUGCUGGGCUGGUGCCUGUGGUGCCGCCAAGCGCAGGAGGGACCCAGCGGCUCCAGGUCUGUGGGAGACUUUAAGUUGGGGCCGAAUGUGGUGCUCGCUGCCGACGCAGAGCCCCCAAGCUGGACGGGACCCCUGGCCGUGCGGCUGGGAACACCUGGGGUUGUCCUACCUUUGCAGGGACAGCGAGCCAACCCCUGCUUGGAAGGAGCACUUUCCCCACCGAGGCCGGCCCAGGGCGCGUGCUGAGCAGGUGGGUUGAGUGGGUGGAAAGAAUGCAACCCCUGGUUGUGGGACAUGUUGAAGCCCACCCCAACCCCUCCAGUACCGUCCUUCUGUCCCUCCACUUGCUGGGGCUGGGGGCCAAGGAUGGGGUCACUGUGGGGACUUUAUCCAGCUGGUUGACUUCAGGGUCCUGGCAGGGAGUGGCUCUUGCUGCCAGGACAGUAGAGGCCUAGAGAGUCCUAUCUCUGACACCAGCCACCUUGCAGGGUUCGGGCCAGGGAAGGGGAAGGGAUGGGAGAGAAUGGAAACCUCCAGAGUCAUUUUAACUGGUCGUUGGACAGAGCCAGUGCGACUUCAAGUUCAAUGACAAACCCCCUCUCCAUGUCUCUGGGGUGGGGUGGGGCCUGUGGCCCCACAGAGCUGAGCCACCCAGGAGGCCAGGGAAGGAGACGCAGUACACAGGAGGCCAGGGAAGGAGACGCAGUACACAGGAGCCCAGCAUCCUCUCAGCUGCAUGGACAUCUCUACCCAGACCCUUCUGCAGCCACCUCCCCACUUACCCAGCAGGAGACCAAGCCAAUCCUUUUCUGCGAAACUGUGCUGGCUUCUGUGACUGUCCUGCAACCAGAUAGAGGCCUGAGGGACUCUGCACAGUUUCUGGGCUGAGGCAGAAGAAGCCCCAUGGCUUCCCCUCUGCCUCCUGCAUGCUGCCUUUUAGCUCUUAGCACCUGCUGGGAGAAGCUGGCCCCAGCGUGGACAAGCCUCCAGGAGACCGGAGCACCCACCGGAAGGAAGGGAGGGAGGGAGGGAGGAAGGGCCAUGGAGGUAAAACGAAGUUAUUAGGGUGGGCCCAAAUCUGACUGGUGUCCGUAGACAAAGGGGAGAUUAGGACACAGACAUGCACAGAGGGAUGACACCGUGAGGACACAGGGAGAAGACGGCAUCUGCAAGCCCAGAAGAGAGGCCUCAGGAGGACCCAACCCUGCCCACACCUUGAUCUUGGACUUCCAGUCUCCAUGACUGUGAGAUGGUAAAUAAAUGCAUGCUGUUAAGGCCACGGAA
rnacentral:lncRNA from 1 species